GGAUGCUAAUACCGCAUAGUUUUCAGGAAUCGCAUGAUUCUGAAGGAAAGGUGGCUUCGGCUACCACUAAUGGAUGGACCCGCGGCGUAUAGCUAGUUGGUGAGGUAAUGGCUCACCAAGGCAAUGAUACGUAGCCGACCUGAGAGGGUGAUCGGCCACACUGGGACUGAGACACGGCCCAGACUCCUACGGGAGGCAGCAGUAGGGAAUCUUCCGCAAUGGACGAAAGUCUGACGGAGCAACGCCGCGUGAGUGAAGAAGGUUUUCGGAUCGUAAAACUCUGUUGUUAAAGAAGAACAAGGAUGAGAGUAACUGCUCAUCCCCUGACGGUAUUUAACCAGAAAGCCACGGCUAACUACGUGCCAGCAGCCGCGGUAAUACGUAGGUGGCAAGCGUUGUCCGGAUUUAUUGGGCGUAAAGCGAGCGCAGGCGGUUCUUUAAGUCUGAUGUGAAAGCCCCCGGCUCAACCGGGGAGGGUCAUUGGAAACUGGAGAACUUGAGUGCAGAAGAGGAGAGUGGAAUUCCACGUGUAGCGGUGAAAUGCGUAGAUAUGUGGAGGAACACCAGUGGCGAAGGCGACUCUCUGGUCUGUAACUGACGCUGAGGCUCGAAAGCGUGGGGAGCAAACAGG
rnacentral:rRNA from 1 species